AGUGAACGCUGGCGGUAGGCCUAACACAUGCAAGUCGAACGGCCGCACAGUAAGAUCUCGCUCUUACGGGUGGCGAGUGGCGGACGGGUGAGGAAUACACCGGAAUCUACUCUUUCGUGGGGGAUAACGUAGGGAAACUUACGCUAAUACCGCAUACGACCUUCGGGUGAAAGCAGGGGAUCUUCGGACCUUGCGCGAUUGAAUGAGCCGAUGUCGGAUUAGCUAUUUGGUGGGGUAAAGGCCCACCAAGGCGACGAUCCGUAGCUGGUCUGAGAGGAUGAUCAGCAACACUGGAACUGAGACACGGUCCAGACUCCUACGGGAGGCAGCAGUGGGGAAUAUUGGACAAUGGGCGCAGGCCUGAUCCAGCCAGACCGCGUGGGUGAAGAAGGCUUUCGGGUUGUAAAGCCCUUUUGUUGGGAAGGAAAAGCAGCAGGUUAAUACCCCGCUGUUCUGACGGUACCCAAAGAAUAAGCACCGGCUAACUUCGUG
rnacentral:rRNA from 1 species